UGGGGAAUAUUGGACAAUGGGGGCAACCCUGAUCCAGCCAUGCCGCGUGAGUGAUGAAGGCCUUCGGGUUGUAAAGCUCUUUUGGCGGGGACGAUGAUGACGGUACCCGCAGAAUAAGCCCCGGCUAACUUCGUGCCAGCAGCCGCGGUAAGACGAAGGGGGCUAGCGUUGUUCGGAAUUACUGGGCGUAAAGCGAGUGUAGGUGGUUGUCGUAGUCAGGCGUGAAAGCCUCGAGCUCAACUCGAGAAAUGCGCUUGAUACUGGGCAGCUAGAGGACCGGAGAGGAUAGUGGAAUUCCCAGUGUAGUGGUGAAAUACGUAGAGAUUGGGAAGAACACCAGUGGCGAAGGCGGCUAUCUGGACGGUUUCUGACACUAAGACUCGAAAGCGUGGGGAGCAAACAGGAUUAGAUACCCUGGUAGUCCACGCCGUAAACGAUGGGUGCUAGACGUUGGCGGGCUUGCCCGUCAGUGUCGCAGCUAACGCGUUAAGCACCCCGCCUGGGGAGUACGGCCGCAAGGUUG
rnacentral:rRNA from 1 species